AUGAACGCUAGCUACAGGCUUAACACAUGCAAGUCGAGGGGCAGCAUGGCCUUAGCUUGCUAAGGCCGAUGGCGACCGGCGCACGGGUGAGUAACACGUAUCCAACCUGCCGUCUACUCUUGGACAGCCUUCUGAAAGGAAGAUUAAUACAAGAUGGCAUCAUGAGUCCGCAUGUUCACAUGAUUAAAGGUAUUCCGGUAGACGAUGGGGAUGCGUUCCAUUAGAUAGUAGGCGGGGUAACGGCCCACCUAGUCUUCGAUGGAUAGGGGUUCUGAGAGGAAGGUCCCCCACAUUGGAACUGAGACACGGUCCAAACUCCUACGGGAGGCAGCAGUGAGGAAUAUUGGUCAAUGGGCGAGAGCCUGAACCAGCCAAGUAGCGUGAAGGAUGACUGCCCUAUGGGUUGUAAACUUCUUUUAUAAAGGAAUAAAGUCGGGUAUGUAUACCCGUUUGCAUGUACUUUAUGAAUAAGGAUCGGCUAACUCCGUGCCAGCAGCCGCGGUAAUACGGAGGAUCCGAGCGUUAUCCGGAUUUAUUGGGUUUAAAGGGAGCGUAGAUGGAUGUUUAAGUCAGUUGUGAAAGUUUGCGGCUCAACCGUAAAAUUGCAGUUGAUACUGGAUAUCUUGAGUGCAGUUGAGGCAGGCGGAAUUCGUGGUGUAGCGGUGAAAUGCUUAGAUAUCACGAAGAACUCCGAUUGCGAAGGCAGCCUGCUAAGCUGCAACUGACAUUGAGGCUCGAAAGUGUGGGUAUCAAACAGGAUUAGAUACCCUGGUAGUCCACACGGUAAACGAUGAAUACUCGCUGUUUGCGAUAUACUGCAAGCGGCCAAGCGAAAGCGUUAAGUAUUCCACCUGGGGAGUACGCCGGCAACGGUGAAACUCAAAGGAAUUGACGGGGGCCCGCACAAGCGGAGGAACAUGUGGUUUAAUUCGAUGAUACGCGAGGAACCUUACCCGGGCUUGAACUGUAGGCGAACGAUUCAGAGAUGAUGAGGCCCUUCGGGGUGCCUAUGGAGGUGCUGCAUGGUUGUCGUCAGCUCGUGCCGUGAGGUGUCGGCUUAAGUGCCAUAACGAGCGCAACCCUUGUUGUCAGUUACUAACAGGUUCCGCUGAGGACUCUGACAAGACUGCCAUCGUAAGAUGUGAGGAAGGUGGGGAUGACGUCAAAUCAGCACGGCCCUUACGUCCGGGGCUACACACGUGUUACAAUGGGGGGUACAGAGGGCCGCUACCACGCGAGUGGAUGCCAAUCCCCAAAACCUCUCUCAGUUCGGACUGGAGUCUGCAACCCGACUCCACGAAGCUGGAUUCGCUAGUAAUCGCGCAUCAGCCACGGCGCGGUGAAUACGUUCCCGGGCCUUGUACACACCGCCCGUCAAGCCAUGGGAGCCGGGGGUACCUGAAGUGCGUAACCGCGAGGAGCGCCCUAGGGUAAAACUGGUGACUGGGGCU
rnacentral:rRNA from 1 species